rnacentral:rRNA from 1 species
CUUGGUCAUUUAGAGGAAGUAAAAGUCGUAACAAGGUUUCCGUAGGUGAACCUGCGGAAGGAUCAUUAAAGAAAACUAGGGGAUGUGCUGGCUUUAAAAGCAUGUGCACUCUUCAACUCUUAUCCUAUCCACCUGUGCACAUCCUGUAGGCAGAAAUGAGGAACAAAUUUUGUUCUUGGAACAAAAGUUGUUCUCCUGUUUCACUGCCUAUGUUUUUACAUACACCAAGUAAAGUUGAAGCAUGUGAAAUAUAUUAUACAACUUUCAACAAUGGAUCUCUUGGUUCUCGCAUCGAUGAAGAACGCAGCGAAUUGCGAUAUGUAAUGUGAAUUGCAGAAUUCAGUGAAUCAUCGAAUCUUUGAACGCAUAUGGCACCCUCUCUUGAAAUAGGAGGGUAUGCCUGUUUGAGUGUCAUUAAACUCCUCAAUACCAUUUACUGGUGUUUGGAUGUUGAAGGUCUGCUGGUGAAUCCCAUCAUCAGCUCCNUUUAAAUACAUGAGCAGGACUACAUGCAACCAGCUCCAAUUUGAUAAGCUGGUUAUCUUUGNUGNUGCUGGGAGUGAAUAAGGNAAUUGUCUGCUACUAGUUGUCCUGACCAUGGGACUUGCCUAAUAGGCACCAUUUGAACCCUGACCUCAAUCAGGUAGGACUACCCGCUGAACUUAAGCAUAUCAWUAAGCGGAGGAAAGAACUACCCAGGAUUCCUUAGUAACUGCGAGUGANGAGGNAAAAGCUCAANUUUGUAAUCUGCCAGUGUCUGCUGUCCGAGUUGUAANUUCAAGAAGUGUUAUCCAAUGCUGGACCAUGCACAAGUCUCUUGGAAAAGAGCAUCAUAGANGGGUGACAAUCCCGUCUCUGGCAUGGACUNCCCAGCACUCCCCUGUGUUACACUUUCAAUGAGUCGAGUUGUUUGGGAAUGCAGCUCUAAAUGGGUGGUAAAUUCCAUCUAAAGCUAAAUAUUGGCGAGAGACCGAUAGCGAACAAGUACCGUGAGGGAAAGAUGAAAAGGACUUUGAAAAGAGAGUUAAACAGUACGUGAAAUUGUUGAAAGGGAAACACUUGAAGUCAGUCAUGUUCAUCAGAAAUCAACCUGACCCUUGUGGUCUUGUGCACUUUCUGUUGGGCAGGCCAGCAUCAAUUUUGACCACUGCAAAAAGGCUUAGGAAAUGUAGCAUCCUUCUGGAUGUGUUAUAGUCCUGGGUUGGAUACAGUGGUUGGGAUUGAGGAACUCAGUGUGACCUUCAGGUUUGGGGAGUUUACUCUCACAACACACACUUAGGAUGCUGGCAUAAUGGCUUUAAUUGACCCGUCUUGAAACACGGACC